GUCUGCGUAGCUCAGCGGAUAGAGUGUGGGUUUCCUAAGCCUGAGGUCGCCGGUUCGAACCCGGUCGUAGACU